UUUUGUUUAGGGAAUACCAGCUAGGAUGUCUUGUCCCUGUAAGAGGGGGUGACAGGAGCCUCUGCCAAGAGAGCAUAAUCCAGCUUUCCUUGCAGUGCUCCGAGAUGGGAAAGUCUGCAACACCACAGACGCCGGCGAGGAGAGGAACAUGUGCUGCGAAUUAGCCAUGCCUGAAACAAUGGGAAGCCAGUCAGUUUGGCUGUUCCACGGUGGCUGGAAUGAGGGAAUAGCCCAUAGGCCGGGCACUCACCUGAGAGGUAGGAGACCCCUGCUCCAAUCCCUUCUCCCCUUCGUGCAGCAGAAGGGUCUGACCCAGAGCCUCCCACAUCCCAGUUCCUAGUAUUACUGAGCCUGAGGUCAUGUCCACCAGAUGUGGAAAGAAUCGAGCCUGUGAGGACAAGCUCUCAAGCAAGCAUCCGUUCCCUAUUUAUAUAUUUUCCCCCAAG